rnacentral:rRNA from 1 species
AGCGAACGCUGGCGGCAGGCCUAACACAUGCAAGUCGAACGAACCUUUCGGGGUUAGUGGCGGACGGGUGAGUAACACGUGGGAACGUGCCUUUAGGUUCGGAAUAACUCAGGGAAACUUGUGCUAAUACCGAAUGUGCCCUUCGGGGGAAAGAUUAAUCGCCUUUAGAGCGGCCCGCGUCUGAUUAGCUAGUUGGUUGAGGUAAUGGCUCACCAAGGCGACGAUCAGUAGCUGGUCUGAGAGGAUGAUCAGCCACAUUGGUACUGCGACACGGCCCAAACUCCUACGGGAGGCAGCAGUGGGGAAUCUUGCGCAAUGGGCGAAAGCCUGACGCAGCCAUGCCGCGUGAAUGAUGAAGGUCUUAGGAUUGUAAAAUUCUUUCACCGGGGACGAUAAUGACGGUACCCGGAGAAGAAGCCCCGGCUAACUUCGUG